GAUGAACGCUGGCGGCGUGCCUAAUACAUGCAAGUCGAGCGAACAGACGAGGAGCUUGCUCCUCUGACGUUAGCGGCGGACGGGUGAGUAACACGUGGAUAACCUACCUAUAAGACUGGGAUAACUUCGGGAAACCGGAGCUAAUACCGGAUAAUAUAUUGAACCGCAUGGUUCAAUAGUGAAAGACGGUUUUGCUGUCACUUAUAGAUGGAUCCGCGCCGCAUUAGCUAGUUGGUAAGGUAACGGCUUACCAAGGCAACGAUGCGUAGCCGACCUGAGAGGCGGAUCGGCACAACGGGAACUGGGCCACGGCCCAGACUCCUAGGGGAGGCAGCAGUGGGGAUUUUUCAGAAAUGGGCGAAAGCCUGACGGAGCAACGCGGCGGGAGGGAUGAAGGCCUUCGGUUGGUAAAACCCUGUUAUCAGGGAAGAACAAAUGUGUAAGAAACUAUGCGCGUAUGAACGGUACCUAAGCAGAAGGCCACGCCUAACUCCGU
rnacentral:rRNA from 1 species